UUAAGCAUAUCAAUAAGCGGAGGAAAAGAAACCAACAGGGAUUGCUCUAGUAACGGCGAGUGAAGCAGCAAUAGCUCAAAUUUGAAAUCUGGCGUCUUCGACGUCCGAGUUGUAAUUUGUAGAGGAUGCUUCUGAGUAACCACCGACCUAAGUUCCUUGGAACAGGACGUCAUAGAGGGUGAGAAUCCCGUAUGCGGUCGGAAAGGUGCUCUAUACGUAGCUCCUUCGACGAGUCGAGUUGUUUGGGAAUGCAGCUCUAAAUGGGAGGUAAAUUUCUUCUAAAGCUAAAUAUUGGCCAGAGACCGAUAGCGCACAAGUAGAGUGAUCGAAAGAUGAAAAGCACUUUGGAAAGAGAGUUAAAAAGCACGUGAAAUUGUUAAAAGGGAAGGGAUUGCAACCAGACUUGCUCGCGGUGUUCCGCCGGUCUUCUGACCGGUCUACUCGCCGCGUUGCAGGCCAGCAUCGUCUGGUGCCGCUGGAUAAGACUUGAGGAAUGUAGCUCCCUCGGGAGUGUUAUAGCCUCUUGUGAUGCAGCGAGCGCCGGGCGAGGUCCGCGCUUCGGCUAGGAUGCUGGCGUAAUGGUCGUAAUCCGCCCGUCUUGAAACACGGACCAAGGAGUCUAACAUCUAUGCGAGUGUUCGGGUGUCAAACCCCUACGCGUAAUGAAAGUGAACGGAGGUGAGAACCGCAAGGUGCAUCAUCGACCGAUCCUGAUGUCUUCGGAUGGAUUUGAGUAAGAGCAUAGCUGUUGGGACCCGAAAGAUGGUGAACUAUGCCUGAAUAGGGUGAAGCCAGAGGAAACUCUGGUGGAGGCUCGCAGCGGUUCUGACGUGCAAAUCGAUCGUCAAAUUUGGGUAUAGGGGCGAAAGACUAAUCGAACCAUCUAGUAGCUGGUUCCUGCCG
rnacentral:rRNA from 1 species